rnacentral:rRNA from 1 species
CUUUUCGGUACUCGCGAAUGCAUCCUAGAUUAUAGUUUGAUCAUGGCUCAGAGUGAACGCUGGCGGUAAGGGCCUAACACAUGCAAGUCGAACGGCAGCACAGGAGAGCUUGCUCUCUGGGUGGCGAGUGGCGGACGGGUGAGGAACACAUCGGAAUCUACUUUUUCGUGGGGGAUAACGUAGGGAAACUUACGCUAAUACCGCAUACGACCUACGGGUGAAAGCAGGGGAUCUUCGGACCUUGCGCGAUUGAAUGAGCCGAAUGUCGGAUUAGCCUAGUUGGCGGGGGGUAAAGGCCCAACCAAGGCGACGAUCCGUACUGGUCUGAAGGAUGAUCACAUGGAAUGAGCAAAUC